AAAUUUGUUAAUACCGACCUCACUAUAAGGGCGAAAUUGGGCCCGAACGUUCGCAUUGCUCCCGGCCCGCCCAUGGCCGGCCCGCGGGAAUUUCGAUUAGAGUUUUGAUCCCUGGGCUCAGAACGAACGCUGGGCGGCAGGCCUAACACAUGCAAAGUCGAGCGGCACUCUUCGGAGUGAGCGGCGGACGGGUUAGUAACGCGUGGGAAUAUACCCUUUUCUACGGAAUAGCCUCGGGAAACUGAGAGUAAUACCGUAUACGCCCUUCGGGGGAAAGAUUUAUCGGUGAAGGAUUAGCCCGCGUCUGAUUAGAUAGUUGGUGGGGUAAUGGCCUACCAAGUCUACGAUCAGUAGCUGGUUUGAGAGGAUGAUCAGCAACACUGGGACUGAGACACGGCCCAGACUCCUACGGGAGGCAGCAGUGGGGAAUCUUAGACAAUGGGCGCAAGCCUGAUCUAGCCAUGCCGCGUGAGUGACGAAGGCCUUAGGGUCGUAAAGCUCUUUCAGCCAGAGAUGAUAAUGACAGUAUCUGGUAAAGAAACCCCGGCUAACUCCGUGCCAGCAGCCGCGGUAAUACGGACGGGGGUUAGCGUUGUUCGGAAUUACUGGGCGUAAAGCGUACGUAGGCGGAUUGGAAAGUAGGGGGUGAAAUCCCAGGGCUCAACCCUGGAACUGCCUCCUAAACUAUCAGUCUAGAGUUCGAGAGAGGUGAGUGGAAUUCCAAGUGUAGAGGUGAAAUUGGUAGAUAUUUGGAGGAACACCAGUGGCGAAGGCGGCUCACUGGCUCGAUACUGACGCUGAGGUACGAAAGUUUGGGGAAACAAACAGGAUUAGAUACCCUGGUAGUCCACACCGCAAUCAGAAUGCCAGACGUCGGGGGGCUUGCCCUUCGGUGUCACACCUAACGGAUUAAGC
rnacentral:rRNA from 1 species